ensembl:lncRNA
GCUGAAACUACUCUUUCAACCACCACACCAGCCGUCCCAUCCAGUACUCUCAUUGUCGAAGAAGGAAGCACCACUGCCCAACCAUCUACAGAAUCAUCAGCUCCAAGCGCAUUCUCAACAACUUCAAAAUCAUCUACAGCUACUCAAACAACUGGACAACCAACAACAACUGAGACUGUAACUGAGAAUGAAUUAACCACAACUCAGACACCUUUGUCAACCACCACCAGGCCACCAAAAGUGGGGACGACUGGUCUAACAAGCCAACCAACGACUACAGCAACAACCACUUUAGAAGAGGUAACAGGCACAUCAUCUGAAACAUCAACAUCUACAAGCACAGCCCUGCCAGUGUCCCAAACUUCAUUGCCAGUUGUUACAUCCACACAGCCAACAACGCUGACAAAGACAACUGCUGUACCAGUCACUACCCUUGUGUACACAACAGUGAGUGUAGAAUCAUCCACUGGGUCUGAGGUAACCACUCAGGGUCUUUCUUCAACAACAAAACCACUCAAAGCUGAAACUACUCUUUCAACCACCACACCAGCCAUCCCAUCCACUACUGUCAUUGUCGAGGAAGGAAGCACCACUGCCCAACCAUCUACAGGAUCAUCAGCUCCAAUCGUAGUUUCCGCAACUUCAAAAUCAUUUACACCUACUCAAACAACUGGACAACCAACAACGACUGAGACUGUAACUGAAAAUGAGUUGACCACAACUCAGACACCUUUGUCCACCACCACCAGGCCACCAAAAGUGGGGACGACUGGCCUAACAAGCCAACCAACGACUACAGCAACAACCACUUUAGAAGAGGUAACAGGCACAUCAUCUGAAACAUCAACAUCUACAAGCACAGCCCUGCCAGUGUCCCAAACUUCAUUGCCAGUUGUUACAUCCACACAGCCAACAACGCUGACAAAAACAACUGCUGUACCAGUCACUACCCUUGUGUACACAACAGUGAGUGUAGAAUCAUCCACUGGGUCUGAGGUUACCACUCAGGGUCUUGCUUCAACAACAAAACCACUCAAAGUUGAAACAACAUCCUCUUUAUUGUCAACCACUUCAGUUGUUUGUUGUUUUGUUAAUGGCACACAUUUUCAAUCAGGUACAAAAUUCCCACUUAAUUUUUAUUCUUGUAUUAAUUAA